rnacentral:lncRNA from 1 species
GAGGGAGGGAGGGAGAGUGAAUGAGAGUACAAACAGGGAAAGCGAAUCUUUUUUAAAGUGGUAUCUGUUCCACUGGCGGAUGGGCAUACCUGGAAACAACUAAAGGAUGUUUGUAAAAUUUAUUUGACAUUCCUUGAGGUUCUUAACAAUUGGCAACAGUGACUGGAGCAGCUUUCAGCAUUUCCCCAUUUUGGUUUGUUUAUCUUCCAACAAGCCCCCCCUCCCCCAAAGCAAACCAUGAAUUCCUCUUCUAAUUUGAUGGGGCAGAAAGAAACCAGAGGGGUGGCUGUCUCCAUGCUCACACAACAUGAUAUAAAACCUAAAAAAAACAUUGUGAAUUGGGUUCCAUGGUCUGUUUAGUUGUUUUCAUUGCAAGGACAAACAAUGAAGCAACAUGCAUCAGCACACUGCCCGUAGCUAGGUUGCUUUGAAUCCCAGCAACUGCAGUCAUACGGUAGAUAAAUGUUUCCCAGUGUACUGAAAAGAUUCUCAUUAAGAUCCUUUCUCCAUCAGACAAAUUGUUCAUGCUAUACAGCUGUAUUUGGAAGGUAGGUUUUUUUUAAAACUGCAGUGUCAUCUGAAUCCUGUGGGUAAGUGUGGUCAUCUGCUUAUCUCCUGUGUUGCUGAUACAUCAGUCUGUUAGCUGCUAUGAAGAUCCUACCAUCUUCCUGGAAGUACAUCUCAACACACAGCCGAAGUGGUGAUCUCUCUCAAAGAAGCACAUCACACAGAACCUCAAAGAAACUGCAUGUUUUUGUUGUUGGAAACGAUCUAUGGGAGAGUUAAACACAUCGCUAAACCUCUCCCAGUGGCAUCAACAGAAAUUCAAACAUGCUGAUAGUGACCAGGACAGACUUUGGUCCAGUGGAGACUCUUGCUGGAAGAAGAAAAUGUCACUCGUUCCUUCUCCCCUGCCCUCCAUAGUGUGAUGCUUCCCAUGGUGUUCUAGAGCUUCCUCAACACCUUCUGGGACAUCUCUUCAGGAGGCACUGGGGAAAAGAGGAUUUGGCCUAAACCACUUCCUGCCCAUUUAAAUCAUAUGCUGGUAAACAUUUCUGUAGCACUUUUCAUUUAUAAAACAGUAAAAACCAUAAAACCUAAAACAAUUCAUUGAAAAACCCACCAGGGCAGCUGAUAAUGACUU